rnacentral:rRNA from 1 species
CGCCAGACUCCUACGGGAGGCAGCAGUGGGGAAUAUUGGGCAAUGGGCGCAAGCCUGACCCAGCAACGCCGCGUGAAGGAAGAAGGCUUUCGGGUUGUAAACUUCUUUUAUCAGGGACGAAGCAAGUGACGGUACCUGAUGAAUAAGCCACGGCUAACUACGUGCCAGCAGCCGCGGUAAUACGUAGGUGGCAAGCGUUAUCCGGAUUUACUGGGUGUAAAGGGCGUGUAGGCGGGAGUGCAAGUCAGAUGUGAAAACUAUGGGCUCAACCCAUAGCCUGCAUUUGAAACUGUAGGUCUUGAGUAUCGGAGAGGCAGGCGGAAUUCCUAGUGUAGCGGUGAAAUGCGUAGAUAUUAGGAGGAACACCAGUGGCGAAGGCGGCCUGCUGGACGACAACUGACGGUGAGGCGCGAAAGCGUGGGGAGCAAACAGGAUUAGAUACCCCGGUA